rnacentral:tRNA from 1 species
GCUCGGUUAGCUCAGUCUGUAGGGCACCAGACUCUUAAUCUGGUUGUCACGGGGUUCGAGCCUCGCAUCGGGCU